GACGAACGCUGGCGGCGUGCUUAACACAUGCAAGUCGAACGGAAAGGCCCUGCUUUCGUGGGGUGCUCGAGUGGCGAACGGGUGAGUAACACGUGAGUAACCUGCCCUUGACUUUGGGAUAACUUCAGGAAACUGGGGCUAAUACCGGAUAGGAGCUCCUGCUGCAUGGUGGGGGUUGGAAAGUUUCGGCGGUUGGGGAUGGACUCGCGGCUUAUCAGCUUGUUGGUGGGGUAGUGGCUUACCAAGGCUUUGACGGGUAGCCGGCCUGAGAGGGUGACCGGCCCAUUGGGACUGAGAUACGGCCCAGACUCCUACGGGAGGCAGCAGUGGGGAAUAUUGCACAAUGGGCGGAAGCCUGAUGCAGCAACGCCGCGUGCGGGAUGACGGCCUUCGGGUUGUAAACCGCUUUCGCCUGUGACGAAGCGUGAGUGACGGUAAUGGGUAAAGAAGCACCGGCUAACUACGUG
rnacentral:rRNA from 1 species